AUUGAACGCUGGCGGCAGGCCUAACACAUGCAAGUCGAACGAGUGGCGGACGGGUGAGUAAUGUCUGGGAAACUGCCUGAUGGAGGGGGGUAACUCCUGGAAACGGUAGCUAAUACCGCAUACCAUCGGAUGUGCCCAGAUGGUCUUAGCUAGUAGGUGGGGUAAAGGCUCACCUAGGCGAGGAUCCCUAGCUGGCCUGAGAGGAUGACCAGCCACACUGGAACUGAGACACGGUCCAGACUCCUACGGGAGGCAGCAGUGGGGAAUAUGGCACAAUGGGCGCAAGCCUGAUGGAGCAAUGCCGCGUGUAUGAAGAAGGCCUUCGGGUUGUAAAGUACUUUCAGCGGGGAGGCGUUAACCGCAGAAGAAGCACCGGCUAACUCCGUGCCAGCAGCCGCGGUAAUAC
rnacentral:rRNA from 1 species